UGUGGCUGCGUGAAGAUGCAGAGUCACUUCCUGGUAUGUGUGCCAGGGCAACACGGCUAGAGACCGAGUACUGCAAAGCGUGAGUUUGACCAGAGGGCGAGCUCUCAGUGGCUUCCCCAGGCCACCAGAGGUUUUGGUCCCUUGUGGAACACCCUGUCAUAGUAAAGGUUGCCUGGAUGCAGGCCUCCUGCAAGGAGCCAGUUUCUGCACUGGCCCAGAGCCAAUCCCUGCAGGGAAAGAAGCCCAUCCCCACGUGGGCCACAGUGUUCUUCUGGAUGCUUCCUUUAAUGUGGCAGAAGUGAGUCACUUUUCACUUGACACCUCCGGCUCCUGCUGGACUGUAAACUCCUUGAGGGCCAACUUCUCAUUUCUGACUGAACCCCGAGGGUGCAUAGAGACCAGAAAGACUGAGUGACAGGAUGUGAGGAGCAAGGCCUGAGAGGGGCCAUCCGCCGAGAAGCAUGCUGACUCUGGAAAGGACAUCUGAGAACAAACGGCACCAUUUGGGAAGGUAGGAGGAUGGUCCUCCUUGACCACCCACCCACAAAGGCUCAUCUGGGAGAGAAUGGAGCUCUUGUAUCCAGGCGACACGGGGAUCCCUGAGAUGGGGUAGCAGGGUGCGGGAGUGCCAUCUUUCCAGAAAUGAAGAUGGCCCGUUAGCCACUCGGCAUCAUGUCUUCCUGCCCUGGGCCACUGCUGAGCUCCCUCCUUCCCAUUGUGGAGGAGCCUCGACAACACAGACUGGACCUGCAUCUGCGCCUGAUGCACAGCUGUGGGGAAUGGAGGCAAGUGGACCUAGGAGCAAGGGGCACGGGGCAGGGCAGGCUGUGGCCAGAGCGUGCCCACUAACCAAGGAAUUACCAUUUUGCGUUUUCGAUACUUACCACAUCCUAUACUCGAGCAAAGCAAGAAGGUGAAGGUCAGUGCAUAUUAUGAAAUUUGCCAGUCUCCCGGCCCUCCCCCUCCCUAUAUUCAUCUGGUUGUUGGGUUUUCAAGAUGACUGUAAUGGGAGGUGUAAGCUAGAACAGCCAGACGUGCGUAUGGUGCUUGGACCCGGCUAUGUUCACCUUUCCCAUGAGAGUCCACGCCAGUAUCCUCAGUUGGGUUCUGUUAGCUGCAGAGUGCACCCCCAUGUUGUUUGGGAAAAUGCCCGUAGUGACUAAAGAGCCAGGCUCCAGCCUUUUGGGGGAGCCUUUUGUUGUGGCAGGAACAAAGAGUAUUGAGGCAUAUUGAUGGGACGUGAAGGAAUUGUCACCACUAACCACACUGCAGUUCCACACAUAUGGUUGGUCCCUUCAAGACGGAGUACAAAGGUAAAAUGCAAGCUAGACUUUGAAGAUUUAAUUUUAAAAUGUAAACCAUCUUAUUUAAGACUGUUUUUAACAUU